UUUCAUUUUGGUGGGUUUUCAAGGUAGCCAUGUUUGGUCGUGAGACUUGGCUAGGUCGAUGCUCGGGGCCAAGAUUUUCAAAAUUUUAAAAGUGGUGGUUUUUGAGGUUUUAUUGUUGGAAUUCACUCUUUAUAUGACGAAAUGGCUACGGUAAAAAAUCUUGGUGCAACAAGAUUUUCAUUUUGGUGGGUUCUCAAGCUAGCCAAGUUUGGUGGUGAGACUUGGGUAGGUCGGUGCGUGGGGCCAAGAUUUUCGAAAUUUUCAAAGUUGUGGUUUUUGAGGUUUGAUAGUUGGAAUUCAGUCUUUAUAUGACGAAAUGGCUAUGGUAAAAAAUCUUUGUGCAACAAGAUAUUCAUUUUGGUGGGUUUUCAAGCUAGCCAAGUUUGGUGGUGAGGCUUGGCGAGGUCGGUGCAUGGGGCCAAGAUUUGGGAAAUUUUCAAAGUGUUGGUUUUUGAGGUUUGAUCGUUGGAGUGCAUCUUUAUAUGACCAAAUGGCUACGAUAAAAAUCUUGGUGCAAGAAAUAUUUCAUUCUAGUUGGUUUUCAAGCUACCCAAGUUUGCUGGUGAGACUUGGCUAGGUUCGUGCAUGGGUUUUAAAAGUGUUAAUUUUUGACGUUUGAUGGUUGGAAUGCACUCUUUAUAUGACCAAAUGGCUACUGUAAAAAUCUUGCUGCAAGAAAUUUUUCAUUUUGGAUGGUUUUCAAGGAAGCCAAGUUUGGUGGUGAGACUUGGCUAGGUUGGUGCAUGGGGCCAAGAUUUGGGAAAUUUUCAAAGUGUUUGAUUUUAGGUUUGAUGGUUGGAAUGCACUCUUUAUAUGACCAAAUGGCUAGUGUAAAAAUCUUGGUGCAACAAAUUUUUCAUUUUGGUGGGUUUUCAAGCUAGCCAACCUUGGUGGUGAGACUUGGAUUGGUUGGUGCAUGGGGCUAAGAUUUGGGAAAUUUUCAAAGUGUUGGUUUUUGAGGUUUGAUGGUUGGAACGCACUCUUUAUAUGACCAAAUGGCUACUGUAAAAAUCUUUGUUUAAGAAAUUUUUCAUUUUGGUUGGUUUUCAAGGUAGCCAAGUUUGGUGGUGAGACUUGGCUAGGUCGAGGCAUGGGGCCAAGAUUUGGGAAAUUUUAAAAGUGUUG
rnacentral:lncRNA from 1 species